rnacentral:tRNA from 1 species
GCCGGAGUGGCGGAAUUGGUAGACGCAGCGGACUUAAAAUCCGCUGCUCGUUUAAACGGGCGUGCCGGUUCGAGUCCGGCCUCCGGCAGCA